rnacentral:rRNA from 1 species
GUGGGGAAUCUUGCGCAAUGGGCGAAAGCCUGACGCAGCCAUGCCGCGUGAAUGAUGAAGGUCUUAGGAUUGUAAAAUUCUUUCACCGGGGACGAUAAUGACGGUACCCGGAGAAGAAGCUCCGGCUAACUUCGUGCCAGCAGCCGCGGUAAUACGAAGGGGGCUAGCGUUGCUCGGAAUUACUGGGCGUAAAGGGCGCGUAGGCGGACAGCUUAGUCAGAGGUGAAAGCCCAGGGCUCAACCUUGGAAUUGCCUUUGAUACUGGCUGUCUUGAGUUUGGGAGAGGUGAGUGGAACCCCGAGUGUAGAGGUGAAAUUCGUAGAUAUUCGGAAGAACACCAGUGGCGAAGGCGACUCACUGGCCCAAUACUGACGCUGAGGCGCGAAAGCGUGGGGAGCAAACAGGAUUAGAUACCCUAGUAGUCC